rnacentral:lncRNA from 1 species
UUACACAGUCAAUUUACAAUUUAAUGUAAAAAAUUCACAACUUAAUACAAACUGUUUUACAAUAAUUCACUAAUUCAAAGAAGUCGAAAAACUCAACCUCUACCACCACAUGCCGCCACCAACCACCUGUAUCAACAUAGUAGCCAUUAUUUCUUCCAAGUCAGAUCUGUAAAUAAAGUCAUGCAUUAACAACUAAUACUAUAUUUACAAUCUAAUAAAGCCUAUUAUAUAACUCGUUUUGAAUUUAAUGCAAAACAAUUAUAAAAACUAAUGGAUUCUUACAAAUUUAUACAACAAAAAAAUAAAUAUAUUCAUAAGAAAAUUAACAAAAAAAUUCAUACAUAGAACAUUCAUAUUAAACACAAAUAAUAAAAAAUUCACAGCAAAAUACAGUCAAUUCACAGUUUAAACAGAAAUUCAUAGUUUAAUGCAGUCAAUUCACAUUUUUAAAUACGAAAAUCACAAUUUAAUAUAAAAAAUUCACAGUUUAAUAUAGUUAAUUUCACAAUUCAAAUAAAUAUUCACAACUUAAUGCAGUUAAUUCAAAGUUUAAAAUACAAAAAACACAGCUUAAUAAAUAAAAUUCACAGUUUAUUACAAUAAAUUUACAGUUUAAUACAAAAAACAUAAAUUCACAACAAUAAUAUCAAUUUAAAACUCUUAAUACAGACAAUUCACAGUUUAAUAUACAAAAUUCACAGCUUAAUAUAAUAAAUUCACAAUUUACGACAAAAAAUUUAUAUUUAUAGUUAUAUUUUCAAAUUAAAACUUAUAUUUAGAUGUUAAUAUAUGAAAACAUUUAUAUGUAUUAAAUUGAAUUUAAUAUAUUAAGUCGUGAAUAAAAAUUACAAAGUAAUACAUAAUUCACAAUUUAGUAUACAAAAUUAAUCAGAUACAUUGUGUACACCAUAUAAAUUCACAGUUUAAUAGAGCUUUUCAGAACUCUUAUUCACAGUUUAAUAAUCAGUUUAGGACUCUCAUUCAUUGUAUUUAUAACAUAAAAACAUAUUAAUUCAUGCAUUCACAAUAACUAACUUAAAUAGAACUAAACAAUUAAAACAUCAUAGUUCAAAGCUUAAAAAAAUCAAAAUUCAUAUUAUUUGAGAAAACACUAACAUAAUAACACACAUUUUAAAUUCAAUUCACAGCUUAACAACAAUAAAACAUAAAGUGAAUAAAAACUUGAUACAAACAUUAUAAAAAAACAUAGUAAACAUGGAUUAACAACUUAAUAGUAGAAAAAAAACUAUGUUUAACAAAAUUAAACAACAAAUGAGAGAUUAUAACAUUAAAUUCACAACUUAAUAGAAAAAAAAAGUAUACAAAUAUCAACAUACCUGAUGUAAAUAUGGUGUUGUUUCACUAAAGAUCAGAGAAAAAAAAGAUGGAGUUGAGUUGGCGGUGCUACACCGGAGCGGCAAGGCAGUAGUUAUGGUGGCAGUUGACAUCGAUCUCAGAUCUAGACCGUCAAUCUCGUCAAAAGUCGUAGAUCUGAAGGCAUAAAUCAUAGAUUCAUAAGCGAAAAUCAUAGAUAUGCUGUUGGAAAUCAUAGAUCUAACGUCAGAGAUCAUAGAUCUAGACUGAACCGCUUCAGAUCUGAUGAAAUCAAAGGAUUUUGGAGGUUGAAGACAUACCUUUAUUGUUGGUAGAGGUGAUGGUGGACCAGAUCUGAACAGAUCUGGUGGUCUUUCAUGGAGAUCGAGAGAAAAAAAGAUGGAGGCGAAAUGAAGAUGUGUCAUCAGAGCUCACAAAUAUAAACAUUAGUGGUAGUGAAAAUCAGUGGUAAAGUAAAUAUGAUGUGGUGGUGGGGUAAAUCUAGACUUCAAAUGCAUCAAACACACCAGAUCUGAUGUAGAUCUGGUGGUGUUUCACCAAAAAAAAUAAGGAGAAAAAGAUGAUGUUGGAAUAUGGUGGUGACGAUGGCUGGAACCAAUUUCGGUCAACGGCGGUGGCACCGGUAAGUGGCGGCAAUGGUGGUAGUUGAUGAUGAUAAAUGGAGGAUUUGUGUUUGAGAUUUUGAAGGUGAAUGGGAGUGUUUGGAUGCAAGAAAAAUAAC